CCUAUCAGAGGGGGAUAACCCGGCGAAAGUCGGACUAAUACCGCAUGAAGCAGGGGCCCCGCAUGGGGAUAUUUGCUAAAGAUUCAUCGCUGAUAGAUAGGCAUGCGUUCCAUUAGGCAGUUGGCGGGGUAACGGCCCACCAAACCGACGAUGGAUAGGGGUUCUGAGAGGAAGGUCCCCCACAUUGGUACUGAGACACGGACCAAACUCCUACGGGAGGCAGCAGUGAGGAAUAUUGGUCAAUGGGCGCGAGCCUGAACCAGCCAAGUCGCGUGAGGGAUGAAGGUUCUAUGGAUCGUAAACCUCUUUUAUAAGGGAAUAAAGUGCGGGACGUGUCCCGUUUUGUAUGUACCUUAUGAAUAAGGAUCGGCUAACUCCGUGCCAGCAGCCGCGGUAAUACGGAGGAUCCGAGCGUUAUCCGGAUUUAUUGGGUUUAAAGGGUGCGUAGGCGGCCUUUUAAGUCAGCGGUGAAAGUCUGUGGCUCAACCAUAGAAUUGCCGUUGAAACUGGGGGGCUUGAGUAUGUUUGAGGCAGGCGGAAUGCGUGGUGUAGCGGUGAAAUGCAUAGAUAUCACGCAGAACCCCGAUUGCGAAGGCAGCCUGCCAAGCCAUUACUGACGCUGAUGCACGAAAGCGUGGGGAUCAAACAGGAUUAGAUACCCUGGUAGUCCACGCAGUAAACGAUGAUCACUAGCUGUUUGCGAUACACUGUAAGCGGCACAGCGAAAGCGUUAAGUGAUCCACCUGGGGAGUACGCCGGCAACGGUGAAACUCAAAGGAAUUGACGGGGGCCCGCACAAGCGGAGGAACAUGUGGUUUAAUUCGAUGAUACGCGAGGAACCUUACCCGGGUUUGAACGCAUUCGGACCGAGGUGGAAACACCUUUUCUAGCAAUAGCCGUUUGCGAGGUGCUGCAUGGUUGUCGUCAGCUCGUGCCGUGAGGUGUCGGCUUAAGUGCCAUAACGAGCGCAACCCUUGCCACUAGUUACUAACAGGUAAAGCUGAGGACUCUGGUGGGACUGCCAGCGUAAGCUGCGAGGAAGGCGGGGAUGACGUCAAAUCAGCACGGCCCUUACAUCCGGGGCGACACACGUGUUACAAUGGCGUGGACAAAGGGAGGCCACCUGGCGACAGGGAGCGAAUCCCCAAACCACGUCUCAGUUCGGAUCGGAGUCUGCAACCCGACUCCGUGAAGCUGGAUUCGCUAGUAAUCGCGCAUCAGCCAUGGCGCGGUGAAUACGUUCCCGGGCCUUGUACACACCGCCCGUCAAGCCAUGGGAGCCGGGGGUACCUGAAGUCCGUAACCG
rnacentral:rRNA from 1 species